GAGGAUAUGGCUCAAUGAUGGAACACUUGCCUAGCAUGCCAGGGGGCUCUGGGUUCAAUCCCCAGUAACCCCU
rnacentral:tRNA from 1 species